CCUACGGGAGGCAGCAGUGAGGAAUAUUGGUCAAUGGGCUUACGCCUGAACCAGCCAAGUCGCGUGAGGGAAGACUGCCCUAUGGGUUGUAAACCUCUUUUGUCAGGGAGCAAUUGGCGCUACGUGUAGCGUUAUCGAGAGUACCUGAAGAAAAAGCAUCGGCUAACUCCGUGCCAGCAGCCGCGGUAAUACGGAGGAUGCGAGCGUUAUCCGGAUUUAUUGGGUUUAAGGGGUGCGAAGGUGGCAUGCCAAGUCAGCGGGAAAAUCGCGGGGCUCAACCUCGCUCCGCCGUUGAAACUGGCGUUCUUGAGUGGGCGAGAAGUAUGCGGAAUGCGUGGUGUAGCGGUGAAAUGCAUAGAUAUCACGCAGAACUCCGAUUGCGAAGGCAGCAUACCGGCGCCCAACUGACGCUGAAGCACGAAAGCGUGGGUAUCGAACAGGAUUAGAUACCCGAGUAGUC
rnacentral:rRNA from 1 species